UACGUAGGCAGCGAGCGUUGUUCGGAGUUACUGGGCGUAAAGCGUGCGUAGGCGGUGGUCCAAGUCUGAUGUGAAAGCCCACGGCUCAACCGUGGAGGGUCAUUGGAAACUGGGGGACUUGAGUGCAGAAGAGGAAAGCGGAAUUCCACGUGUAGCGGUGAAAUGCGUAGAGAUGUGGAGGAACACCAGUGGCGAAGGCGGCUUUCUGGUCUGUAACUGACGCU
rnacentral:rRNA from 1 species